UACGAAGGGGGCUAGCGUUGCUCGGAAUCACUGGGCGUAAAGCGCACGUAGGCGGAUUGCUAAGUCAGGGGUGAAAUCCUGGAGCUCAACUCCAGAACUGCCUUUGAUACUGGCGACCUUGAGUCCGGGAGAGGUGAGUGGAACUGCGAGUGUAGAGGUGAAAUUCGUAGAUAUUCGCAAGAACACCAGUGGCGAAGGCGGCUAACUGGUCCAGCACUGACGCCGAGGUGCGAAAGCGUGGGGAGCAAACAGG
rnacentral:rRNA from 1 species